rnacentral:ncRNA from 1 species
AAAUUUAUUAUAGUUUAUAAAUUUUAUUAUAAAUUUAAUUUACAUAUAAAUUUUAGUGUAUAAAAUUAAUUAUUUUAAUAAUAAUUAAUUUAAUUAAGUAGUAAUUAUUAUUAAAAAUUUAAGUAAUUAAGAUUUAGUAAUAUUAAAAUUAAUAACAAAUUUUGUGCCAGCAGUUGCGGUUAUACAAAAAUUAAAUUAAAUUUUAUUAAUAUUUGUAAUAAAUAAAUAUUAUAAUUAAAUUUAAAUGUUAAAUUAUUAAGUAAAAUUUUAAUUUAAUUAAAAUUUUAAUAUAAUUUAUGAUUUAUAAGAUUAUUUUUAUAAACUAGGAUUAGAUACCCUAUUAUUGAUAAUUUAAAUUUGAAAUAUUAAAAUAGUAAAUAAUUAUUUAUUGAAACUUAAAUAAUUUGGCGGUAUUUUAGUUUAUUUAGAGGAAUCUGUCUAAUAAUUGAUAUUCCACGAAUAAAUUUACUUAAUUUAAAAUUUUGUAUAUCGUUGUUAAAAAAAUAUUUUUUAGUAAAAAUAAUAUUUUAAAAUUAAAAUUAAAAUUUAAAUCAGAUCAAGAUGCAGAUUAUAAUUAAGAAUAUGAUGGAUUACAAUAAAUUUAUUUAAAUGGAAAUUAAAUUGAAAAAUUUAAUUAAAAGUGGAUUUAAAUGUAAUUUUAUUUAAUUUAUUAAAAUGAUUAAAAAUUAAAAUAUGUACAUAUUGCCCGUCGCUUUCAUAAAUAAAUUGAAAUAAGUCGUAACAAAGUAGAGGUACUGGAAAGUGUUUCUAGAAAGAA